rnacentral:rRNA from 1 species
UAUGGAUGGACCCGCGGCGUAUUAGCUAGUUGGUGAGGUAAUGGCUCACCAAGGCGAUGAUACGUAGCCGACCUGAGAGGGUGAUCGGCCACACUGGGACUGAGACACGGCCCAGACUCCUACGGGAGGCAGCAGUAGGAAAUCUUCCGCAAUGGACGAAAGUCUGACGGAGCAAGGCCGCGUGAGUGAAGAAGGUUUUCGGAUCGUAACUUUAAGGGUUAGAGAAGAACAAGGAUGAGAGUAACUGCUCAUCCC